UCCUAAACAGAGAAGAUUUUCGAGAUUUUUCAAGAGUGUGUUUUGAAGAAUUCGGAGACAAAGUUAAGAUGUGGACUACUAUAAACGAGCCUUAUGUCAUAACUGUUGCGGGCUACGACACUGGCAACAAAGCGGUUGGACGAUGCU
rnacentral:sRNA from 1 species